UGGGGAAUAUUGCACAAUGGGCGAAAGCCUGAUGCAGCAACGCCGCGUGAGUGAUGAAGGCCUUCGGGUUGUAAAGCUCUGUCUUUUGGGACGAUAAUGACGGUACCAAAGGAGGAAGCCACGGCUAACUACGUGCCAGCAGCCGCGGUAAUACGUAGGUGGCAAAGCGUUGUCCGGAUUUACUGGGCGUAAAGGAUGCGUAGGCGGAUUUUUAAGUGAGAUGUGAAAUACCCGGGCUUAACUUGGGUGCUGCAUUUCAAACUGGGAAUCUAGAGUGCGGGAGAGGAGAAUGGAAUUCCUAGUGUAGCGGUGAAAUGCGUAGAGAUUAGGAAGAACACCAGUGGCGAAGGCGAUUCUCUGGACCGUAAGCUGACGCUGAGGCAUGAAAGCGUGGGUAGCAAACAGGAUUAGAUACCCUGGUAGUCCACGCCGUAAACGAUGAGUACUAGGUGUAGGAGGUAUCGACCCCUUCUGUGCCGCAGUUAACACAAUCAAGUACUCCGCCUGGGAAGUACGAUCGCAAGA
rnacentral:rRNA from 1 species